rnacentral:rRNA from 1 species
UAGAGUUUGAUCCUGGCUCAGGAUGAACGCUAGCUACAGGCUUAACACAUGCAAGUCGAGGGGAAACGACAUCGAAAGCUUGCUUUUGAUGGGCGUCGACCGGCGCACGGGUGAGUAACGCGUAUCCAACCUGCCCACCACUUGGGGAUAACCUUGCGAAAGUAAGACUAAUACCCAAUGAUAUCUCUAGAAGACAUCUGAAAGAGAUUAAAGAUUUAUCGGUGAUGGAUGGGGAUGCGUCUGAUUAGCUUGUUGGCGGGGUAACGGCCCACCAAGGCAACGAUCAGUAGGGGUUCUGAGAGGAAGGUCCCCCACAUUGGAACUGAGACACGGUCCAAACUCCUACGGGAGGCAGCAGUGAGGAAUAUUGGUCAAUGGACGAGAGUCUGAACCAGCCAAGUAGCGUGCAGGAUGACGGCCCUAUGGGUUGUAAACUGCUUUUAUAAGGGAAUAAAGUGAGUCUCGUGAGACUUUUUGCAUGUACCUUAUGAAUAAGGACCGGCUAAUUCCGUGCCAGCAGCCGCGGUAAUACGGAAGGUCCGGGCGUUAUCCGGAUUUAUUGGGUUUAAGGGGAGCGUAGGCCGGAGAUUAAGCGUGUUGUGAAAUGUAGACGCUCAACGUCUGCACUGCAGCGCGAACUGGUUUCCUUGAGUACGCACAAAGUGGGCGGAAUUCGUGGUGUAGCGGUGAAAUGCUUAGAUAUCACGAAGAACUCCGAUUGCGAAGGCAGCUCACUGGAGCGCAACUGACGCUGAAGCUCGAAAGUGCGGGUAUCGAACAGGAUUAGAUACCCUGGUAGUCCGCACGGUAAACGAUGGAUGCCCGCUGUUGGUCUGAAUAGGUCAGCGGCCAAGCGAAAGCAUUAAGCAUCCCACCUGGGGAGUACGCCGGCAACGGUGAAACUCAAAGGAAUUGA